GGUUCAAUGGCGUAGUGGUUAUCGCAUCUGUCUUACAUUGAGGCUACACAGAAGGUCUCCGGUUCGAUCCCGGGUUGAACCA
rnacentral:tRNA from 1 species